CUACGGGAGGCUGCAGUGGGGGAUAUUGCACAAUGGGGGAAACCCUGAUGCAGCAACGCCGCGUGAAGGAAGACGGAUUUCGGUCUGUAAACUUCUAUCAGCUGGGAAGAAAAUGACGGUACCAGACUAAGAAGCCCCGGCUAACUACGUGCCAGCAGCCGCGGUAAUACGUAGGGGGCAAGCGUUAUCCGGAUUUACUGGGUGUAAAGGGUACGUAGGCGGUUAUUUAAGUCAGAUGUGAAAGCCCGGAGCUCAACUCCGGAACUGCAUUUGAAACUGGGUAACUAGAGUACAGGAGAGGAAAGCGGAAUUCCUAGUGUAGCGGUGAAAUGCGUAGAUAUUAGGAAGAACACCAGUGGCGAAGGCGGCUUUCUGGACUGUAACUGACGCUGAGGUACGAAAGCGUGGGGAGCGAACAGGAUUAGAUACCCUGGUAGUC
rnacentral:rRNA from 1 species